rnacentral:rRNA from 1 species
AGAGUUUGAUCCUGGCUCAGGAUGAACGCUGGCGGUAUGCUUAACACAUGCAAGUCGAACGGAUGUUUUCGGACAUUAGUGGCGGACGGGUGAGUAACGCGUGAGAAUCUGCCUAUAGGUUGGGGACAACAGCUGGAAACGGUUGCUAAUACCCGAUAUGCCGAGAGGUGAAAGCUUUAGUGCCUGUAGAUGAGCUCGCGUCCGAUUAGCUAGUUGGUGAGGUAAGAGCUUACCAAGGCGACGAUCGGUAGCUGGUCUGAGAGGAUGAUCAGCCACGCUGGGACUGAGACACGGCCCAGACUCCUACGGGAGGCAGCAGUGGGGAAUUUUCCGCAAUGGGCGAAAGCCUGACGGAGCAAUACCGCGUGCGGGACGAAGGCUUUUGGGUCGUAAACCGCUUUUGUUAGGGAAGAACACAAUGACGGUACCUAACGAAUCAGCAUCGGCUAACUCCGUGCCAGCAGCCGCGGUAAUACGGAGGAUGCAAGCGUUAUCCGGAAUUAUUGGGCGUAAAGCGUCCGCAGGUGGUUUAUCAAGUCUGCUGUCAAAGCGUGGGGCUUAACCCCAUAACGGCAGUGGAAACUGAGAGACUAGAGUACGGUAGGGGUAGCGGGAAUUCCCAGUGUAGCGGUGAAAUGCGUAGAUAUUGGGAAGAACACCAGCGGCGAAGGCGCGCUACUGGGCCGAAACUGACACUCAUGGACGAAAGCUAGGGGAGCGAAAGGGAUUAGAUACCCCUGUAGUCCU